AACGAACGCUGGCGGCAUGGAUAAGACAUGCAAGUCGGACGAGAUUUUUCGUUGUAGCAAUACGAUGGAAAGUCUAGUGGCGAACGGGUGCUUAACACGUGGGCAAUCUGUCUUAAAGUGGGGGAUAGCUCGGCGAAAGCCGAAUUAAUACCGCAUGUGAUUAGAGUGGACAUCCAUUCGAAAUUAAAGCCGGGGCAACCUGGCGCUUUUUGAGGAGCCCGCGGCCUAUCAGCUUGUUGGUGAGGUAACGGCUCACCAAGGCUUUGACGGGUAGCUGGUCUGAGAGGACGACCAGCCACACUGGGACUGAGACACGGCCCAGACACCUACGGGUGGCAGCAGUCGAGAAUUUUUCUCAAUGGGGGAAACCCUGAAGGAGCGACGCCGCGUGGAGGAUGAAGGUCUUCGGAUUGUAAACUCCUGUCAUUGGGGAACAAGUCGCUUACGUUAACUGCGUGAGCGUUGAUAGUACCCGAAGAGGAAGAGACGGCUAACUCUGUGCCAGCCGCCGCAGUAA
rnacentral:rRNA from 1 species